UUUUCUCACUUAAUCUCGUUGGCUGUGCUGUACAUUAUCACACAGGCUUUUCAUCUAAUCACUGUUCAAGACGGAUAUGGAAUCCCUUCAUUAGAACUGAGAGACCCGGAGUCCAUCUUGAAAAUUAUUCCUUAGUUUUUCAUUACCCAGCUUCAUCUAACAUUGUGAUUGUUUGAAACACUACAUGUCCUCGUUUGAAUUUGAAGUUAAUAGGCCACACCAAAUAUAAAGAGCUAUGGCAGGUGCACAGAAUACUCACAUUGCUAACAAGUUUGGGAAAGAAGUUUUUAUCAUUGUCGUUCACCCUAAUGAACGUGAAGAUCGGAUGUACGUGGAGGCCGGUAAAAUUCGGAAUGUGGCUACAGACGAAGGGCCUGUGACUGUGAAAGUCUUUAACCCGUAUUGUGAGAAUACGGAGUUGGUAGAGCAGAGGACCAUUCCAUCUAAUAUGAGCGUCGUGAUUGUGAAGUCUGGAACCGGAAGACCUAAAAUUUCCCGUGUCAUAUAUGGGAAAUUAUGGGAUGUAGACCCUUAUGAUGAGGGCAAAUAAAAAGGUUGCAGUUGUAAAUGCCAAUAACAAUAUCUAUAUAAUAUCUAUAUAAUAUCUAUACUGCCUUUAUAAAAGUUCAAAUUCAGAGCUAGAUUACGAGUGGAGCGGUAGUUUGCACUCCUGCUCGCUUGUUAAUUCCGCUAGACGGAGGCUUUUGAAAGUAAAAGAUGAAAGUAAAAACAUUUUUGCACGAGCACUAACCCAAUGCACACAAAAAUGUUAUAUACAGUAUAUAUAUGUAUCUGUGUGUUUAUAUGUGCGUAUAUGUCUGUAAAUACUUAUAUACACAUAUGUACACACAUAUACACACAUAUAUAUAUAUACAUACAUACUUACAUAUACAUAUUCAGACAUGUAUAUCUAUGUAUCUCUAUGUUUAAGUGCUUUGCCUUCCAUUUUUUUUGUACACCUGGUACCUCAUAUCUUUGAACCCUUAUAACUUUUUAAUGUAAUAUUUUUAUUAAAUCAUUUUUAUCAUA